rnacentral:ncRNA from 1 species
UUUUAAGAUUAUGGUUCUUCUUUAUAGAAGUUUAAUAGGGAAAGUGAAAAACACUACAGCCCCCGCUACUGUAUGCGAAGACGAAUCCUAACCACUGGCUCUAGGCUGGGAAGGUAGGAGGAGAAAGAUGCGUGAGUCAGGAGACCUGCCAUAAGCUUUA